GACUGUGCGAAGGUAGCAUAAUCAUUAGUCUUUUAAUUGAAGACUUGUAUGAACGGUUCGACAAAGAACUAACUCUCUUAAUAGCUUACAUUGAAGUUAACUUUUAAGUGAAGAGGCUUAAAUAACUCUUAAAGACGAUAAGACCCUAUAAAACUUUACAUAUACUUAGUUAAAAUUUUAAUUAUUUGUAAAAAGUUUUUUUUAAAAUUAUGUUUCAUUGGGGAGAUGAAAGUAUAAAAUUAGCUGCUUAAUCUUUAAUACAAAAAUCUUUGAAUUUUAAUUGAUCCUUAGUUAGAGAUAAAAGUUAAGUUACUUUAGGGAUAACAGCGUUAUUCUUUUUAAGAGUUCCUAUCGACAAAAGAGUUUGCGACCUCGAUGUUGAAUUAAAAUUUCUUUAUAGUGCAGCCGCUAUAAGAGUGAGUCUGUUCGACUUU
rnacentral:rRNA from 1 species